rnacentral:rRNA from 1 species
UACGAAGGGGGCUAGCGUUGCUCGGAAUGACUGGGCGUAAAGGGCGCGUAGGCGGCACACACAGUCAGGCGUGAAAUUCCUGGGCUUAACCUGGGGGCUGCGUUUGAUACAUGUGAGCUAGAGGAUGGAAGAGGCUCGUGGAAUUCCCAGUGUAGAGGUGAAAUUCGUAGAUAUUGGGAAGAACACCGGUGGCGAAGGCG